CUAGUUGGUAAGGUAAUGGCUUACCAAGGCGACGAUCGGUAGCUGGUGUGAGAGCACGACCAGCCACACGGGCACUGAGAUACGGGCCCGACUCCUACGGGAGGCAGCAGUAAGGAAUAUUGGUCAAUGGACGCAAGUCUGAACCAGCCAUGCCGCGUGCAGGAUGAAGGUCCUCUGGAUUGUAAACUGCUUUUAUCUGGGAAGAAACCCCCCGAUUCUUCGGGGGUUGACGGUACCAGAGGAAUAAGCACCGGCUAACUCCGUGCCAGCAGCCGCGGUAAUACGGAGGGUGUAAGCGUUAUCCGGAUUUACUGGGUUUAAAGGGUGCGUAGGCGGAUUGGAAAGUCAGUGGUGAAAUACUCCGACUUAAUCGGAGAACUGCCGUUGAUACUAUCAAUCUUGAAUGUGGUUGAGGCGGGCGGAAUGUGUCGUGUAGCGGUGAAAUGCUUAGAUAUGACACAGAACACCCAUUGCGAAGGCAGCUCGCUAAGCCACCAUUGACGCUGAGGCACGAAAGCGUGGGUAGCAAACAGGAUUAGAAACCCUGGUAGUCCACGCCCUAAACGAUGAUCACUCGAUCUUAGCGAUAUACAGUUAGGGUCUAAGCAAAAGCGUUAAGUGAUCCACCUGGGGAGUACGACCGCAAGGUUGAAACUCAAAGGAAUUGACG
rnacentral:rRNA from 1 species